rnacentral:rRNA from 1 species
UACGAAGGGGGCUAGCGUUGCUCGGAAUGACUGGGCGUAAAGGGCGCGUAGGCGGCUGGCUCAGUCAGAUGUGAAAUUCCCGGGCUUAACCUGGGGGCUGCAUUUGAUACGUGUGAUCUGGAGUGAGGAAGAGGGUCGUGGAAUUCCCAGUGUAGAGGUGAAAUUCGUAGAUAUUGGGAAGAACGCCGGUGGCGAAGGCGGCGACCUGGUCCUUGACUGACGCUGAGGCGCGAAAGCGUGGGGAGCAAACAGG